rnacentral:rRNA from 1 species
UACGUAGGGUGCGAGCGUUAAUCGGAAUUACUGGGCGUAAAGCGUGCGCAGGCGGUUUUGUAAGACAGAGGUGAAAUCCCCGGGCUUAACCUGGGAACUGCCUUUGUGACUGCAAGGCUUGAGUGCGGCAGAGGGGGAUGGAAUUCCGCGUGUAGCAGUGAAAUGCGUAGAUAUGCGGAGGAACACCGAUGGCGAAGGCAAUCCCCUGGACCUGUACUGACGCUCAUGCACGAAAGCGUGGGGAGCAAACAGG